AUUGAACGCUGGCGGCAGGCCUAACACAUGCAAGUCGAGCGGAUGAAGGGAGCUUGCUCCUGGAUUCAGCGGCGGACGGGUGAGUAAUGCCUAGGAAUCUGCCUGGUAGUGGGGGAUAACGUCCGGAAACGGGCGCUAAUACCGCAUACGUCCUGAGGGAGAAAGUGGGGGAUCUUCGGACCUCACGCUAUCAGAUGAGCCUAGGUCGGAUUAGCUAGUUGGUGGGGUAAAGGCCUACCAAGGCGACGAUCCGUAACUGGUCUGAGAGGAUGAUCAGUCACACUGGAACUGAGACACGGUCCAGACUCCUACGGGAGGCAGCAGUGGGGAAUUUUGGACAAAGGGCGAAAGCCUGAUCCAGCCAUGCCGCGUGUGUGAAGAAGGUCUUCGGAUUGUAAAGCACUUUAAGUUGGGAGGAAGGGCAGUAAGUUAAUACCUUGCUGUUUUGACGUUACCAACAGAAUAAGCACCGGCUAACUUCGUG
rnacentral:rRNA from 1 species